rnacentral:rRNA from 1 species
UACGUAGGGUCCGAGCGUUGUCCGGAAUUAUUGGGCGUAAAGGGCUCGUAGGCGGUUUGUCGCGUCUGCUGUGAAAACGCGAGGCUCAACCUCGCGCCUGCAGUGGGUACGGGCAGACUAGAGUGCGGUAGGGGGAGAUUGGAAUUCCUGGUGUAGCGGUGGAAUGCGCAGAUAUCAGGAGGAACACCGAUGGCGAAGGCAGAUCUCUGGGCCGUAACUGACGCUGGAGGAGCGAAAGCGUGGGGAGCGAACAGG